UUUUUUUUUUUUUUACAGGGUUUUGCUGUGCAGUUUAGGCUGUCCUUGAACCCACUUUUUAGUCCAUUCUGGCCUUGAACUCAUCAUGGGUAUGGUCUUGUCUCAGCUUCUUGACUGCUGGGAUUACAGGUCUGAGCCACCAUACCUGGCACAGCUUGCUUUUUGGCACAGAUCUAGUUCAGCCACCACUAUUACCAUCCUCAGAUAAUAAAAAUACACUGGACCCGUAUUAGCACAGUUUGCAAGUGCAUGGAGCUGUUCCCCCUGCAAAGGAAGGAUGGAGCAAGAUCCCCAUGCCCUCUGUGACAAGCUCCACCCGUGCACGAACAACCAUAGGAAGGAACAACACCUAGUGGAGUACUCUCCACCUGAAAUAAGGGAACAAGAAUGAGAAGGAAUAUCUCUUCUACUGAACAUAAUCCAGAAAUGCCUCAACUUCACUGUCUGCGAAUGUCUACACACAGAGAACCCAUGCAUCUCCAAGAAGAGGGCUCUGCUUAGGCCUUUGCAGUGCUGAGAGGGGAGAGGGCAGGGAACAGUGGUGAACUUGCUCUCUUAGGCAGUAUGAGCCUUUCUUUUCUAAUGUCAGCCAUGUGUGAUCAAAAAGCCAAGUUCUGGCACUCUCAGAUUCCAUAGAUUUGACUUUCUUUUUUGAACAUGACAACAACAACAACAACAAAACUCUAAUAUGCUCUCAGUGUAGCGCAGAAUGAGGCUAAUAUAAAUAUAAUGUGAGCUGCAUAUAUAAUUUGAAAUUUUUGACAACCAUCUUACAAAAGUAAAAGAUUAAAAUUCAUGUAUAUUUCAAAUAUAUAGCCUGCUUACAUGUAUGUAGUAAAAUGGUUCCUACACUGAAACAAACAUCCAUCAUUUCACAUAGAUACCUAUUUUUUUUUUCUUGUUAGCAAGAAUGGCUAUAAUUCGUUCAUUCAGCAAAAAUCCUGGAUACGGUAAACAGCUAUAGCUCUAUGGUAUAUAUUGGGUCUUUAGACUUAUUCGGCUCACAAUGAAUCUUCAAAUAGCAAAUUUCUGGGUUUUGAAUAGUCCUCAAGGAUCUUAAUCUAUGACUUUUAAAUGCUUGUCUGUAGACCAAUUUUUUUCCAUGUGCCACUCUUCCCUAUAUUUAAGCUUUUUCCCACUAAACCCCUUUAUUAGAGGGUUUAACUACUCCAAGUCCUUCAGUAACCUCCCCUGCCCCCCUGAGAUUUCAGUUUUACUGUCAUGGCCCCUUUCUAUUCAACAUGUUCUUGUUUCCCUUUGUCCUUCUUAAAUGUGGUGUUUUGAACUGAUUGUGUUUCACAUUUGAUAUGAGUGUAGGAUUGAGCGGGGAAGUUUUCUACAACUGUACCAUGCUUUUGUUAAUGCAGAUUCUAGCUUCUAUGUUUGCUUGCUUUCAACUUUAAAAAAAAAAAUUUAGUAGCCACAGUCACUUGACUCAUAUCAAACGGAUCAGUAACUGAAAUGCUUAUUUUGUCUCUUCCUGUGUAUGCUUGAUUAACUUUAGUUUGUACCUUCUGAAAUGCCUAUCAUUUUUAAAAAAGAGAAAGAAAGAAACAAGGAAAAGAAAAGCUGAUCGUGAGUCCAUAUUUUUUGAGGUGAUUAGGCCUUUGCUUAUCAUAGCCAAUAUCCAAAGUCCUAUUAAAUUGAUUUUGAGAAGGGGGAGUAAAGAUACUUAAAGAAUUUUAGCAUACUGUGUCUUAAACUUUAGCAAACAGCAGCUCCACUGAAUAUUAUGCUAAAAGACAAAAAUAAUGAAACACUAAUUCCAAGGAAGGGUCCAAGAGUUUACAUUUCUAACAAGUUCUUGUGGAUUUUUUUUAUCUUUGUAUUGGCAAUUAAACCCAGGACCUUUGCACUGAGUUACAUUCCUAAAUUUAUCAUCAUCAUCAUCAUCAUCAUCAUCAUAAUUAUUGUUAUUUUGAGACAGGUUCUUGCUAAAUCACUGUUCCCCAGGCUUGGUUUGAAGUUGUGAUCUUGCCUGAUUCUCCUAGGGUGCUGAGACUAUGGGUAUUUGUGGUUUAUAUUUUGUGUGACAAAUUCUCAUGCUACCCCAAAAGAUUUCUUAUAAUUGUUUUUAUCACUGUUCCUUUGAACGUUCAUUUUCUUACUCUGUAAACCUGUCUGCGGUCCUUCAAAAUCUCAGAGAGGGGUUUACUGGGACAGAGUUCUGAGCCAUGUGUCCUUAAAGAAAGGCACUGUGCAAAUCUUUAGGGUUUCUCAAGUCUUGCAUAAUAAAGAAUGGUAAUUAAUAGUGCUAGUUUUCACCGAGUUUGUUUGCAUUCCUUGAGAGACCAAGAAAAAGCUACAAUGUGGAAGCCUAAUAGGGAGACAGAGAUUGCUACUACCAAGCACCUGACUAGCUCUGAAAAAUACUUUUCUAAUUGGACUUAUAUCAGAUUUCAUUUUCAUUUUCUUUAGUUCUGAUUUGUUCAUUUAGUCAGUAUUCAAAAAAGAAAACCACACAAUGUUCAUAUGAUAGAGCAUCCAUUUAGGGGAGGGAGGUGGAAAGAGGGUAGGGGUGUUUCUGCUUCAGCUGGGAAAGCAGUGUGUGAAGAGUGUGGGGCUCACCACAGCGCUGUCUUUCAAGUGCAGAACCAGAAUGAGGGAAGCAGUGUGUGUCUGCUUUUACAGAACAAAAAAUCACUCUGGAUUUUCUUACUCUUCUCUUGAUUUCUCUUUGUAAUACUUUUUAGUUAUCAAUCUACAGGUAUAUACAUAUUUAAAAAUAUUAACAAAUAUGAGAUAUACAUAGAUUAAAUAAAAAUUAUGCAGAUAUACUAGUCUAGCAUUGGCUCAACAAAAUACAUUGCACCUAUAUUAAUUUGACACGAUCUGAAGUGCACUUCCAAGUGAACAAUUUUCUUUUGAUUUCUUUACCACCCUAAGUCUACAUUCCUCUGAGGUGCCCCCCAUUAAAGCUUUUUAAAAAAUUCAUCUAACCUUCGAUAACAUCGUUUGUCACAUUUCUCCAGAAAAUCGUACAGUUGUCAGAGUAUCUUUGCAGUCAUUCAGAUACCUCUCACCUAAUGCCUUUGAUGUGGUUUCUGCACAGUCAUACAGAGCUACAUUGCUUUAUGGAAAUGAGUUUGACUGAAUCGGCCCGUUCACCAAAGCAGAGCUGAGAGAAAGUGGGAAGGACCAUGGACCCCACACAUGCAUUUCGGGGUGUGUCGUGUGUCAAUAGCAUCUCACAGAUGGUGCUGAAUGAAGAGCCACUGAAGUCGUGAAACAUUAGGGAAUCCCAGUUUGGCUGGCACUGUGCCAUCAGAUGCAAUCAGCCCUGUUUAUCGGUGCAGGUGCAAGAAGUGGGUUUUCUCCAAACUGUUGGUAAUGCUGCCGGAAACAGACUUUUCCCUCCCUGGCUCUCUAGAGUAACAUGGCUGCCAAAGUAUUUUGGAACAGAAAAUAAAAAUGUUCUGACUACUGGAAGACAGCAAUAGGGCCCUUUGAUAUUUCCCGUGUUCAAUGUGAUCAAGCUGGCAUCCAUUUCCUUCUUAGGCCAGGAUUCUAAGGUACAGUUGGCUGGUGCCCACCUGUGACCUGACUAUUUCUGUUGAGGAUACACCAUUGUGGGAGGCCAUCCUAUUAGGAUUGGAAGUCCUGAAAGGACAGCAAUUUACAGAUGAGUUCUUGUGGAUCUCAUCAGGGAGGAGAAGGGGACAGAACACAACAGGCGAUAUCUAACAAUUGAAACCAGCCCUUGCCUGUGUGGUCCUGUUUCACAUCAUUCUAUGGAAAUGGACUGCUGGGAGGAAGUCUGGAUUUCUGACAGUUUAUAGAGCCAAAAACUUGUUAGAGUUUAUUUUUAAAGAAGUGAGGAAAAUGACAAAUCUCUGAAAACUUUGAGAAAGUUACUUAAUGGGUCUGAUGACCACAGGCCUCCAGCCUACUGGGUCAUGGGAUCUCAACUUCAUGACAGAGAAUGUGAGGGUGGGAUAACCCAGACUCAGAAACAAUUGCACAAUGUGCUGUGACUUUUCAGGAAGCUAAUUCUCUUUAUUUUUAAGAAAAAAAUGUUUUGGAUUGAGAAUUAACUAUGUUCAUUUAAAAAUAUUCUAAAAUGUCAGUCAACAGAACAAAGAAUAUGAGCUCUGUUCCCACCACCUAAAAUCAAUCUCACUUUUUUUUUAGUUUUUUCUAUGCUUCAAAUAAAAAUGGAGCUAUAUCUGUAUUAUAGUCCAUUUAGCAUUAAGACACUGACUCUAGUUAGUUGACAGCUGUAUGCAUUGUUCCUCGGCAGAGAAGGAACCAAGCCAGACUAUAUAUCCCAUUUGGCUAACCUGCGUACUUUGGGCAGCUUAAGAUAUGAACAAUGGAAAAACAUCACCACAGACAGGUAUAACAUCAGAGGUGUCUCAUGAUAGUGGUCAUUAGGAGAAAGACAACUGAGUUAAAAGGCCUAAACACAGGGUUUUCUUACCUAAGGGAAGUCUGGUAGGAGGGAGAAGACAUGACACAUAGGAAUUAUAUUAUUGUACUGGUGGAGUAAUAACAAAUACUAUGUUAGUAAUAUUGUAGUGUGCUGAACCCUGUACUAAGAGGGUUUGUGCAUAUGUUACCACACCUAAAUUUCAUUUAACAAGUUCUCACUUUCUUGAUGAUAAAAUUUAGUCUUAUAGAGAUGAGGUAAACUUAAAUACAUUUGUAGAUCUGAUAAUUAAUAAAGCAGGACUUUGGAUUUGCUCCUUUUUCUCUGAAAGUUGAGCUCAGGUAAUUGGAUCUGGCAGCAUUUUGAAGACUAGCUGAAUGGGAUGGAGAGUGGAGGAGAGUAGAUGUAGGGCGUGUACCUGCACUGUGAUUUCAGUACAAGAGAGGUAGAAGGUCUGAGGUCUGGGUCCUGCAGUGAGGUGGAGGGAUGAGCACAGUGUCGCAGGAAGGCAUCCUACCUGUGUAGGGUGUGGGAAGGCAUGCUAUGGCAGUGGCUCCAAAAUAUCAAUAUGUAUCCAGUGGUGAUGGAGGUUUUCUUUAGUUUUUUAAUGCAAAUUUUCAUGGUACGCUGUGGACCUUGAGUCAGAAUUUCUGGGGUAAAGUUUGGCGUCUUUGCAAGGAUUUUAGAUAAUGCUGAAGUUCUGCUGCAUUCAAGAACCACAGCUCUAUCAGCCUUGAUUUAGGUAAUUACAGUAGAACAUGAGCAUGAGAGGUCAUCUUAGGAUGGCAGUCAGCUUUCUGAAUUUGUGACUGCGUGAAAGUGGGUCCCUCUACUAAGCUAGGAAGUCACCAUAGGCAUGGAAGACAAGGUGUUGAGUUCAACUUGGAUGUGCUAAGGAAGGACUGAUCUUCUGGGCCAUAGAAGAAUCUAAAGCUUAGAGUAGAGAUUGAAACCGCAGGUCUAGAUAUAAAGGACACAGGUGUCUGAGAAGUAGUUGUUCUGUAUUUUACGUAGAAUUUCCAACUAUCUAAACUCUUCGGUAUCGUCUCCAUUAUUACAAAAUUGUUCAACAUUUUAAAUAAUUCCUUUUAUGGUCCUUAAGUCUAUAGAUUUUCUUUCUUUCUUUUUUGUUGUGUUGGGGAUAAAACCCAAGGCCUGGCCCAUGCUAGGCAAGCACUUGUCACUGAGCUAAAUCCUUAGUCACAAAUAUAUUGCUUUUGAAAAUUAUAAUCUUUUUAUGCUUUCCUACAAGUCAUGUGCUUUUAUAAAUACUUAUUUGUGCUAUCUCAUUGAUUCAAACCAGCAACUUGUUAAGGUCAAAUCUUAUUAUCUCUGUAUUUUAAAUGAAGAGAUUUAGGGAGACUAUGUAACUCAUUCAAUAAAGAAUCAAACAUUUGAACCAUG